AACUAACGCUGGCGGCGUGCCUAACACAUGCAAGUCGUACGAGAAAGCCGGCUUCGGCUGGUGAGUAAAGUGGCGCACGGGUGAGUAACGCGUGGAUAAUCUGCCCUUAAGUGUGGAAUAACGUACCGAAAGGUGCGCUAAUACCGCAUAAUGCCUGGCAACACAAGUUGUCCGGCCAAAGAAGGCCUCUGUUUACAAGCUUUCGCUUCAGGAUGAGUCCGCGUACCAUUAGCUUGUUGGUGGGGUAAUGGCCUACCAAGGCUGCGAUGGUUAGCUGGUCUGAGAGGAUGAUCAGCCACACUGGAACUGAGACACGGUCCAGACUCCUACGGGAGGCAGCAGUGGGGAUAUUGCGCAAUGGGGGAAACCCUGACGCAGCGACGCCGCGUGAGCGAAGAAGGCCUUCGGGUUGUAAAGCUCUGUUCUAAGGGACGAAGGACUUGGCUGUGAAUAAUGGUCAAGGGUGACGGUACCUUAGGAGAAAGCCCCGGCUAACU
rnacentral:rRNA from 1 species